rfam:Treponema sp. OMZ 838, complete genome.
ACCGCCACGGAUGGCGGUGGUUCCAUGCAGCAGCGAUGUUUUGUGCACGCACAAAACUCGCCUUCAACUGUUGUACAUGGAUGUACAACAGUUGAAGCUG